GGCUUCGUAGCUCACCUGGUAGAGCGCUUACCGCGUUGAGGCAUGAUUUUUCUGUUGCUAGUUCGGAUCCAGCCGAAGCCC